AGUAGCUGCUCUGUGCCCUUGUUGCCCAGGGCCUCUUCCUGGGUCACUCCUGGAGCAGGGGCCGGACUGGAGCUGACACCGGGGCUCCGGCGUGGCCCUCUCGGCGCCCGUGUGACCUCCUCGCCGGCGGGAUGUGGCGACUACGCCGAGCCGCCGUGGCUUGUGAGGUCUGCCAAUCCUUAGUGAAACGUAGCUCUGGAAUCAAAGGAAGCUUACCACUACAAAAACUGCAUCUGGUUUCACGAAGUGUUUAUCAUUCACAUCAUCCUACCUUAAAGCUUCAAAGACCCCAAUUCCGGACAUCAUUUCAUCAGUUCUCCUCUUUAGCUAACCUUCCGUUACGUAAAUUGAAGCUUUCUCCAAUUAAAUAUGGCUACCAGCCUCGCAGGAAUUUUUGGCCAGCGAGAUUAGCUGCAAGACUCUUAAAACUUCGAUAUCUCAUACUAGGAUCUGCUGUUGGCGGUGGCUAUACAGCCAAAAAAACUUUUGAUCAGUGGAAAGAUAUGAUACCUGACCUCAGUGACUAUAAAUGGAUUGUGCCUGACAUUGUGUGGGAGAUUGAUGAGUAUAUUGAUUUAGAGAAAAUUAGAAAAGCACUUCCUAAUUCAGACGACCUUGCAAAAUUGGCACCUGACUUUGAUAAAAUUGUUGAAAGCCUCAGUUUACUGAAGGACUUUUUCACCACAGGUCACAAAUUGGUUAGUGAAGUCAUAGGAGCUUCUGACCUACUUCUCUUGUUAGGUUCACCUGGAGAAACAGCAUUCAGAGCAACAGAUCACGGAUCUGAAAGUGACAAGCAUUAUAGAAAGGGUCUGCUUGGUGAGCUCAUUCUCUUACAACAGCAAAUUCAAGAGCAUGAAGAGGAAGCGCGCAGAGCCGCUGGCCAAUAUAGCACAAGCUAUGCCCAACAGAAGCGCAAGGUUACAGACAAAGAAAAAAUUGACCAGCUUCAAGAAGAACUUCUGCAUACUCAGUUAAAGUACCAGAGGAUCUUGGAACGAUUAGAAAAAGAGAACAAAGAAUUAAGAAAAUUAGUAUUACAGAAAGAUGACAAAGGCAUCCAUCACAGAAAGCUUAAGAAAUCCUUGAUUGACAUGUAUUCUGAAGUUCUUGAUGUUCUAUCUGAUUAUGACGCCAGUUACAAUACACAAGAUCAUCUGCCAAGGGUUGUUGUGGUUGGAGAUCAGAGUGCUGGAAAAACUAGUGUGCUGGAAAUGAUUGCCCAAGCACGGAUAUUCCCUCGAGGAUCUGGGGAGAUGAUGACACGUUCUCCAGUUAAGGUCACUCUGAGUGAAGGUCCUCACCACGUGGCCUUGUUUAAAGAUAGUUCUCGGGAGUUCGAUCUUACCAAAGAGGAGGAUCUUGCAGCACUAAGACAUGAAAUAGAACUCCGAAUGAGGAAAAAUGUGAAAGAAGGCUGUACUGUUAGUCCUGAGACCAUAUCCUUAAACGUAAAAGGCCCCGGACUGCAAAGGAUGGUGCUUGUUGACUUACCAGGUGUGAUUAAUACUGUGACAUCAGGCAUGGCUCCUGACACAAAGGAAACUAUUUUCAGUAUCAGCAAAGCUUAUAUGCAGAAUCCUAAUGCCAUCAUACUGUGUAUUCAAGAUGGAUCUGUGGAUGCUGAACGUAGCAUUGUUACAGAUUUGGUCAGUCAAAUGGAUCCUCAUGGAAGGAGGACGAUAUUUGUUUUGACCAAAGUAGACCUGGCAGAAAAAAACGUGGCUAGCCCGAGCAGGAUUCAGCAGAUAAUUGAAGGAAAACUCUUCCCAAUGAAAGCUCUAGGUUAUUUUGCUGUUGUAACAGGAAAAGGGAACAGCUCUGAAAGCAUUGAAGCUAUAAGAGAAUAUGAAGAAGAAUUUUUUCAGAAUUCAAAACUCCUAAAGACAAGCAUGCUAAAGGCACACCAAGUGACUACAAGAAAUUUAAGCCUUGCUGUAUCAGACUGCUUUUGGAAAAUGGUACGAGAGUCCGUUGAGCAACAGGCUGAUAGUUUCAAAGCAACACGUUUUAACCUUGAAACUGAGUGGAAGAAUAACUAUCCUCGUCUACGAGAACUUGACCGGAACGAACUAUUUGAAAAAGCUAAAAAUGAAAUCCUCGAUGAAGUUAUCAGUCUGAGCCAGGUCACACCAAAACAUUGGGAGGAAAUCCUUCAGCAGUCUUUGUGGGAAAGAGUAUCAACUCAUGUGAUUGAAAACAUCUAUCUUCCAGCUGCACAGACCAUGAAUUCAGGGACUUUUAAUACAACAGUGGACAUCAAGCUUAAACAGUGGACUGAUAAACAGCUUCCUAAUAAAGCAGUAGAGGUUGCUUGGGAGACCCUACAAGAAGAAUUUUCCCGCUUCAUGACAGAACCAAAAGGGAAAGAGCAUGAUGACAUAUUUGAUAAACUUAAAGAGGCUGUUAAGGAAGAAAGUAUUAAGCGCCACAAGUGGAAUGAUUUUGCGGAGGACAGCUUGAGGGUUAUCCAGCACAAUGCUUUAGAAGACCGUUCCAUAUCUGAUAAACAACAGUGGGAUGCCGCUAUUUAUUUUAUGGAAGAAGCUCUUCAGGCUCGCCUCAAGGACACUGAAAAUGCAAUUGAAAACAUGAUAGGUCCAGAUUGGAAAAAGAGAUGGUUAUACUGGAAGAACCGGACCCAAGAACAGUUUGUCCACAACGAAACCAAGAACGAAUUGGAGAAGAUGUUGAAGUGUAACGAGGAGCACCCGGCAUAUCUCGCAAGCGAUGAGAUAACCACAGUGCGAAAGAACCUGGAAUCCCGAGGGGUAGAAGUGGACCCAAGCUUGAUUAAAGAUACUUGGCACCAAGUUUAUAGAAGACAUUUCUUGAAAACAGCUCUAAACCAUUGUAACCUUUGUCGAAGAGGCUUUUACUACUACCAAAGGCAUUUUGUAGAUUCUGAGUUGGAAUGCAAUGAUGUUGUCCUGUUCUGGCGAAUACAACGCAUGCUUGCCAUCACUGCAAAUACUUUGAGGCAGCAACUUACGAACACUGAAGUCAGGCGAUUAGAGAAAAAUGUGAAAGAGGUAUUGGAAGAUUUUGCUGAAGACAGCGAGAAGAAGGUAAAACUGCUCACUGGCAAACGAGUUCAGCUGGCUGAAGACCUCAAGAAAGUUAGAGAAAUUCAAGAAAAACUUGAUGCUUUUAUUGAAGCUCUUCAUCAGGAGAAAUAAAUGUUAAGACAGAUGUAUACAUGGAUGUACACAAAAAUGUAUCCAGAGAGUAAAUAUCAACCAUCUUUGACACAGUCCAAAAAGAAUUCAUUGUUUUCAAAAUCCUACUCAUAAUAUAAUCACCUCCGCAUACAUGUGAAGAAAGAAAACUCCAAAGUCUUUUGUCCUGCCUUUUUUCCUUCUGCUAUUCCACCUUUCUAAACAUGAAAUAAAGUCAUGGGGUAAAACUACUUAAUGCGAAUCAGAGGCACUUUGACCAUCAGUUGCCUUUUGAAUGCACGAAGAGUGGAAAUGGCAUUAAAAUCCUAUCUUAUUGUAUUGAAGUGACACAUUGAGAUAAUACAAGUGGUGUGGCCGUUAGGUUGAGCCCUUGACGAUAAGAAACUUGCUGUCCUGCUUGUGUCAUUUGUGGUGGCACUAUUUGUGGUGGCACUCGUUCACCUAAUUCAUUAGCCGGUGCUGCUCAGAGUCCGUUUCUUCUCUGGGUAAAAAAUGCCAGGUGUUGUGAAAAGCUAUCAAUUGUAUAUAAAGUGAUGGUAACCCGCUAA